rnacentral:rRNA from 1 species
GCUUUACUGUAACCUGGAAUUGGGUUUGGGCCCCUUUUGCGCAGCCUAGGUGGGAGGCUAUGAGAGCUCUCUUCCGGGAGAGCUGGAGCCAUCAGUGAGAGACCACUCUGGAGAGGCUAGAAUUCUAAUGGUGCUCCUUGAAUCAGGACACUUGACAGUUUCAGGUGGGCAGUUUGUACUGGGGCGGACACCUCCUAAAAGGUAACUGAGGCGCGCAAAGGUUCCCUCAAGUCUGGUCGGAAAUCAGACUUACGAGUGUAAAGGCAAAAGGGAGCUUGACUGCAAGACCCACAAGUCGAGCAGGAGCGAAAGCUGGCCUUAGUGAUCCGACGGUGCCGUGUGGAAGGGCCGUCGCUCAACGAAUAAAAGUUA